rnacentral:lncRNA from 1 species
NNNNNNNNNNNNNNNNNNNNNNNNNNNNNNNNNNNNNNNNNNNNNNGUUGGCUGGAUCCAGGAUCUGGCCACUGUCUGUGAUCGCACCAUAUCCAGGAUCCCUCCGUGUGCAGGAUCUGGCCGUGUCCUUGGGGGGGUGUCAGGGUUGGAGGGGGUGUCCCACUGCAUCCAGGGAUCCAGGAUCCGGCCGUGUCCCAGGAUCCGGCUGUAUCCAGGAUCUGGCCUUGGGCUGUGUCCUGAGGGUCCCAUCAUGUCCUAGGGUCUGGCUGCGUGCAGGAUCCAGCCACUCAGAGAUCCAGUGGUGUUCUGGGAUCCCUCGGUGCGCAGGAUCCGGCCAUUCAGAGAUCCAGCGGUGCCCCAGGAUCCAGCAGUGCGCAGGAUCUGGCCGUUCAGGAAUCCAGUUGUGUCCUGGGAUCCCUCUGUGUGCAGGAUCCGGCCUUUCAGGGAUCCAGUGGUGUCCUGGGAUCCCUCUGUGUGCAGGAUCCGUCCGUUCAGGGAUCCAGCAGUGUCUUGGGAUCCAUCUCUGCACAGGACCUGGCUCUUCAGGAAUCCAGGGGUGUCCUGGGAUCCCUGCAUGCGCAGGAUCCAGCCAUUCAGGAAUCCAGCGCUGUCCUGGGAUCCCCUCUGUGUGCAGGAUCCAGCCACUCAGGGAUCCAGCGGUGUCCCGGGAUCCCUCUACGUGCAGGAUCUGGCCGUUCAGGGAUCCAGCAGUGUCCUGGGAUCCAGCGGUGCCCCGGGAUCCCUCCGUGCGCAAAAUCCGGCCAUGCUUGGACCUUCCCCCCCCCGGCCAGAUCCUGCCCUGGGGUGCUGUGGGGCCCACGGGUGUCCCCUGGGUGUUGUGGGUGUCCCUUAGUGUCCUCUGGCUGUCCCCGAGUGUCCCCUGGGUGUCCCUCAGUGUCCCCUGGGACCCACGGGUGUCCCUUAGUGUCCUCUGGGUGUCCCUCAGUCUCUGCUGGGUGCCGUGGGUGUCCUCAGCGUCCCCCGGGGGACCCUCAAUGUCCCCCAGGUGUCCCCAGGGUGCCGUGGGGCUGGCGGGUCCCCGAUGUCCCCACGGGUCAGGGUCCCCGGGGUGGCCCCUUGGGCUCACCGUCACCGCUGUUCCCCACGUUCCCAACGUUCCCCCAGCGUCCCCGUGGAUCAGGGCGCUACAGGUGCCCCCCUCGAUCUCGCCGGUCGCUGUUGUCCCCCACGUCCCCGAUGUCCCCGUGGGUCACGGUGCCGUAGGCGCCCCCUCGGUCUCGCUGUCGCUGCUGUCCCCCAUGUCCCCGAGGUCCCCGAGGUCCCCGAUGUCCCCGUGGGUCAGGGCGAAGGGUGGCAGCUCCUCGUCGGAGGAACCCAGCGAGUCCUCGUCCCCCAGGCGUGUCCCCAGCCCCACCGCCCCGAAGGCCAGCGGCCCCCGCAGCAGCCGGAUCUGCGGGGACAGGGGACAAGGGGACAGGGGACAAGGGACAUGGGAACACGAUAGGUGAUGGGACAAGGGGAUGGGGACAAGGAGAGAGGGACAGGGGACAUGGGACAUGGGAACACGAUAGGUGAUGGGACAAGGGGAUGGGGGACAAGGGGACAGGGAACAAGGGAAUAGGGAUGGGGCCGAGGGGACGGGGGACAAGGGGAUGGGGACAAAGGGAUGGGGACAAGGGGACAGGGACAAGGGGAGAGGGACAAGGGACAUGGGAUCAUGAUGGGUGAUGAGAUAAGAGGAUGAGUGACAAGGGGACAUGGGAUAAGGGGACAGGGAACAAAGGGAUAGGGAUGGGGUCAAGGGGACAGGGACAAGGGGAUGGGGACAAGGGGACAUGGGGACAGGGAACAGAGAGAUGGGGAUAAGGGGACAGGGGAUGGGACAGGGGACAAGGAGAUGGGGGACAGGGACAAGGGGACAAGGGACGAGGGCAUGUGGGGAAUGGGACAGGGAAGAAGGGGAUGGGCGACAAGGGAACAGGGACAAGGGGACAUGGAUGGGGGAAGAGGGGACACAGAGAGGGGACGAGGGGAUGGGGACAGUGUUGAAGACAAGGGGACAGGGACAAGGGACAAAGAGACAGGGAAGGACCAGGUGACGGGUGGAGGACAAGACAGGCAGAGGGGUGGGGGACAGGAGGGGACAAAGGGACAGGAGAGGGGACAGGAGGGGACAAGGGACAGCAGAGAAGGGGAGGAGGGAGGAGAGAUGGGGAG